GUGGGGAAUUUUUGGCAAUGGGGGAAACCCUGACCAAGCAACGCCGCGUGGAUGAUGAAGUAUCUUGGUACGUAAAAUCCUUUCGACGGGGACGAAACCGCAAGGUUGACGGUACCCGUAGAAGAAGCCCCGGCUAACUCCGUGCCAGCAGCCGCGGUAAUACGGGGGGGGCAAGCGUUGUUCGGAAUUACUGGGCGUAAAGGGCGCGUAGGCGGCUCGCUAAGUCGGAUGUGAAAACUCUGGGCUCAACCCAGAGCCUGCAUUCGAAACUGACGAGCUCGAGUUCUGGAGGGGAAAGCGGAAUUCCUGGUGUAGCGGUGAAAUGCGUAGAUAUCAGGAGGAACACCGGUGGCGAAGGCGGCUUUCUGGACAGAAACUGACGCUGAUGCGCGAAAGCUAGGGGAGCAAACAGGAUUAGAUACCCGGGUAGUCC
rnacentral:rRNA from 1 species